rnacentral:lncRNA from 1 species
UACAUCAAAUGUACCGCAUCAUCAAUUAAAAGUCAAAUAUAUCUCUUCUUUUGAGUAAAAUAUAUAAUAAAAAUAUUUUUCUAUUAACCAUGAUGUAAUGGAUGAACAUAAAGGAACAAUUUGAUUGGUAGGUGAUGACACAUCACCAAUAUAACUAAUGCAUACAAGAUUUUUUUUUUUCCUUUACUGUUCCUAGCAGCACUUGAUUGCAGUGGGCCAUGAUGAAUUAUGGGCCUGUUUGGCCAAUAUUCUGAAAAAAAAUAAUUUUUACCGAAUUAAUUUUAAUUUAGAAAAUUAAUUUUAGCUAAAAAUUGUAGAGCGCUUAGCUGAAUCUAACAAAAAAGCGAUUGUAAAGACUGAGAUUUUGGCAGUGCAACUAUGUUGGAAACCGGAUGGAUCGUCCGUCAUGUGCUACCAACAAAGAUGCACGAAAAAUAGAGAAAAUCGACCGAACGGUAAAAGAAAUAAAUGCAGAAAGAAGAAACCAAGAUUUACGUGGUUCGGCAAUUGCCUACGUCCACGGGGAGAGCGAGAGAGAUGUAUUCCACUAUAUGAAGAAAUAGAAGUACAAGCUUACACCUUAUGUCUUCUCCGGAUAAAAAACCAAGAACCUUAUGGUGAAUCCCACCUUCUUGUUCCAACGAAAACUCCAAGAAAAUACCGAAAAAGCUUUUCGUAAAACCAAGAAGACCAAAUUAGAGAAGUAUAGAAACUCUAACCAAAUUCCUUUAUGCCGUUGCUUCGAAGAAUCCGAACCGCUCAGGCAAUUGGUUGAGAACCGCCGCUCCGCCGCCAACGUCAAUCCGUCGCAUGCGUGCUACCGCGCAUCUCUUUUUCUUGCUACCGUACGGCUAUAGGAAGCUGUGAAUUAAUUAGCCCGAUGCUAAUUAAAUUUCUACCACAUGACGCAUCGUACGGUUCACCCCAGCAUGAAUAUAUAGUGCUAAUUAACCCGGUCAAAAGUCAACCAAUGUUAAUUGGAGUCGGUUUGAGAAGUAUAAACCGAAUAUGGUUUUGAUGCAUGCAAUCCCAAUAUUAAUUAGAUUCAGCCUCAUCUCUUACACCAACGUGAAUCAACUUUAAGAAUUAAUAUAUUCCGUAGACCCGGUGCAUGGACAAAACCAAUAAAAAAGAAGGCAUAUCUUUAACAUUCUCCACCUUGACUUCUUUUUUACUUCAUUACUCUCUCUCAUCUUAUCGCCCCCUCUCCCUGAGGCAUUCAGUCAUUAGCAGUCAUGCAAAUUAGCCAAGUUUAGACAGUGUCUAAACUUAUCCGCUGUUACCGGCUUUGUCAUGAUGUCAGCUACAUUAUCCUUUGUGGAAACCUUUAUAAGCUGAAUUUCUCCAUCAUCCUCAUUAGUGAGCUCCCGUAAUUUGUGAUACUUGAUUUCUAUGUGCUUUGUCCUCCCAUGGUAAACUGGAUUCCUGGCGAGACAUAUAGCACUCUGACUAUCACAACCGAUAAUCAUUUUUUCCUGCAUGAUCCCGAGUUCACCAACCAAGCCUCUAAGCCAGACUGCUUCCUUAGCUGCUUCAAUUGCCGCCAUAUACUCCGCUUCUGUAGUUGACAAGGCUACAGUGCGCUGCAACGUAGAUUUCCAACUGAUAGGUCCGCCGCCCAGCAGAAAGACGUAACCUGUAAUAGACCUACGCUUGUCCAAAUCACCCGCAUAGUCGGAAUCUACAAACCCCUUCACUUCAUCAUUACCAGAAUCUUUCGAGUAGAGAAUACCUUUAUCUGAUGUGCCCUUCAGAUACCGCAAAAUCCACUUCACGGCCUCCCAGUGUUGUUUUCCUGGAUUCGACAUAUACCGACUGACAACACUAACUGCAUGUGAAAGAUCAGGCCUAGUGCAGAUCAUAGCAUACAUCAGGCAACCGACUGCACUAGCAUAUGGUAUCUUUGACAUAGAAGUAAUCUCCUCAUCCGUCUUGGGACACAUCUCCUCAGAAAGUUUGAAGUGUUGGGCUAAUGGAGUCUUGACCGCCUUCGCCUCUGACAUAUUAAAUUGCUUUAUAAUAGCUCGUAUAUAUGUCUUCUGCGAUAACCAUAACUUACCCUGUAUGCGGUCGCGUCUGAUCUCCAUACCUAGGAUUUUCCUAGCACCUCCUAGGUCCUUCAUGUCAAAUUCUCGGCUCAACUGAUCCUUUAAUUGUUGCACUUCAUUCGGAUUCUUAGCUGCUAUAAGCAUAUCGUCUACAUAUAGCAUAAGCAGAAUAAACGAACCAUCUUCAAGCCUCCGAUAGUAGACACAACUGUCAUAUAAACUUCUGCUAUAACCAUGCUCGAUCAUAAACCCGUCAAACCGCUUAUACCACUGCCUCGGUGCCUGCUUCAACCCGUAGAGAGAUCUUUUCAGUUUGCACACCAGAUUCUCCUUCCCCGGCUGAACAAAACCUUGAGGUUGUUCCAUAUAAAUUUCUUCUACUAGAUCCCCAUGAAGAAAUGCGGUUCGAACGUCAAGCUGCUGAAGCUCUAAAUCAAACAUAGCCACCAUAGCUAGAAGCAUCCUAAUUGACGCGUGUUUUACCACCGGUGAGAAAAUCUCAUUGAAAUCAACUCCCUUUACUUGCGCAUAGCCCUUGGCUACUAACCGCGCCUUGAAUUUUUCUGGUUCUCCAUCUGCACCCUGCUUCUUUUUGUAGAUCCACUUGCAACCGAUAGAUCUCUUCCCUUCCGGUAAUGGAAUCAGAUCCCAUGUCUGAUUCUUCUGUAGAGACUCCAUCUCUUCUGUCAUAGCCGCCAUCCAUCUGCCACUAUCUCUGUCCUGCAUCGCCUCCUGAUAGGAAGUGGGAUCAUCUGAUGUAAUUAAUAAGGCAUAAGAUACUAUAUCCUCCAACCUGUACCGUAAAGGUGGACGAAUCUGUCUCCUUUCCCUUCCUUUAGCGAUAGAGUAGGGCUCCUCCGAAGUGCUUUCAAUCGGAUCGCUUUGUGUACCAUGAUCAUCCUGAUAGUGGGGCUGCUCCACCUGAUCAUCUACACCCUCUUGCCGCUCCACCUGGAUCUGCGUAGUUUUUGACUGUUCUUCACGUUGAGCCUCCUGAUGAUCCUUACGCGGCAUAGCUUUUUCGUCAAAAACUACGUCCCUGCUAAUCACCUUCUUCUUGGCGAUAGGGUCCCACAGCUUGUAUCCUUUAACACCCAUAUCGUACCCAAGAAAUAUGCAGGGCUUUGACUUCGAAUCUAAUUUUGUGCGCUGAUUUUCCUGGAUAUGGACAUAAGCAGGACAACCAAAGACCCGUAAGGAGGAAUAAUCUGCAAGUUUACCUGUCCAUACUUCCUCCGGUGUUUUGAGUUCGAUUGCUGUGGCGGGAGAUCGAUUAAUAAUAUAGCACGCCAUAUCUACUGCUUCAGCCCAGAACUCCUUUGGCAAAUCUGCACAUAACCUCAUGGAUCUGGCACGUUCUAGCAAUGUCCGGUUCAUCCUUUCUGCUACCCCAUUCUGCUGUGCAGUACCUGGAACCGUGUAAUGACGUACAAUACCUUCAUCCUUGCAGAAUUUCUUAAACUCCCGAGAAGUGAACUCUCCACCAUUGUCCGUUCGAAGAACCUUGACCUGCUUCCCAGUUUGUUUCUCCACCUCAUUCUUCCAAUGUCUGAACUUUAUAAAUGCCUCAGACUUUUCCUUCAUGAAGAAUACCCAAACCUUACGGGAGAAAUCAUCGAUAAAUGUAAUAAAAUAUCGCGCACCACCUUUCGAAGUCACCGGAGCCGGUCCCCACACGUCCGCAUGGAUAUACUCAAGUAUACUUUUACUUUUAUGACUGGAGGUCCUGAAACUCAACCUUUUCUGUUUUCCAAAUAAACAAAAUUUGCAGAAAUUAAGUUUACAGGAUUUAAUACCUUUGAGUACUCCCCUUUUAUGCAGUUCCAACAUCCCUCUUUCACUCAUGUGGGCUAGUCUCAUGUGCCAGAGCUCCGUAUCAUCAGCAUCAUGAUCUUCUGAGGAUGUUACCGCAACGCCUCCAAUCACCGACUCGCCGAUCAGCCUGUACAGAUUCCCUUUCUUCUCUCCCUUCAUGACGACCAUGGCACCCUUUUUAACCUUGACGACUCCACCUGAAAUGCUAAUAGAACAGCCAGUAGAGUCAAGAGUACCAAGUGAUAUAAGAUUUAACCUGAGAUCCGGAAUGUGUCUCACAUCCGUUAACGUCCUCACCACACCAUCAAACAUCUUUAUUUUUACUGUUCCGAUACCGACCAUCUUGCAGCUAGUGCGAUUACCCAUCAUAACACUACUGCCUUCACAAGACUUAUAAGUAUCAAAUAAAGACCUGUUUGGAGACAUGUGAUAAGAACAACCAGAAUCUAAUAUCCAGUCACCGUGAGAGUCAGAAUCUGUUGUAACCGUCAAGACGUCCUGACCGGAAUCACUGGCUACGCUCGCCGUAUCUGCAGAGGAAUUCUGAUUUCGCAGCCAAGCCUUCCUCUUUUCGCAGUUCUUUUUCAUGUGGCCCUCUUUCUUACAGAAGUAACACUUCACCUUUUUCGAUUUUGACUUGGAACGGGAUCUUCCUUUACCUGCAUCACGUUCUCUUGAUCGUCCCCUUCCUCCACUUGUAUCAUUUACGACCAAACCUGCACUGCUUUCUUCGGUACUCGCCUGCAACCUGAUCUCUUCAGAUAAAAGUGUCGAUGUAACAUCUUCCAUCUUUAGAGUUUGCUUCCCGUACAGUAUGGUGGUCACCAAGUGAUUGUAGGACGACGGAAGUGAUGUAAGAAAAAUCAACGCCUUAUCGUCCUCGUCAACCUUGACAUUAAUGCUGAGCAAAUCCGCAAUAAUUUUAUUAAAGGUGUUCAAGUGUUCCGUUAUUGCCGUACCUUCCUUCAUGCGUAGCCCAUAUAAUUUUUGCUUUAGGUACAGCACGUUCGAGAGGCUUUUGGUCAUGUACAGCUUCUCUAGCUUGUUCCACAUGCCGACUGUAGUUUCUUCAUCCAUUACGUUAUACAUCACCUCAUCUGCUAGACACAAUAUAAUUGUAUUCACCGCCCGCAGAUCAAUAUCCUCCCAAUCUUCGUCGCUCAUCGAUGUCGGCUUUUUCGAUUUUCCGAGCAACGCCUUAUGAAGGCCCUGUUGAACCAGAAGGGCUUUCACUCUUCUCUGCCAGAGACCGAAGUUUCCUUUACCGUCAAAUUUCUCCACCUCAAACUUAGAAGACGAGACUUUCGACAUCUCUGAUGUAGCACGAACCUUACGCUCUGAUACCAUUUGUUGGGAACCGGAUGGAUCGUCCGUCAUGUGCUACCAACAAAGAUGCACGAAAAAUAGAGAAAAUCGACCGAACGGUAAAAGAAAUAAAUGCAGAAAGAAGAAACCAAGAUUUACGUGGUUCGGCAAUUGCCUACGUCCACGGGGAGAGCGAGAGAGAUGUAUUCCACUAUAUGAAGAAAUAGAAGUACAAGCUUACACCUUAUGUCUUCUCCGGAUAAAAAACCAAGAACCUUAUGGUGAAUCCCACCUUUCUUGUUCCAACGAAAACUCCAAGAAAAUACCGAAAAAGCUUUUCGUAAAACCAAGAAGACCAAAUUAGAGAAGUAUAGAAACUCUAACUAAAUUCCUUUAUGUCGUUGCUUCGAAGAAUCCGAACCGCUCAGACAAUUGGUCAAGAGCCGCCGCUCCGCCGCCGACCU